rnacentral:rRNA from 1 species
UAACAUCAAAUCGUACCCCAAACCGACACAGGUGGUCAGGUAGAGAAUACCAAGGCGCUUGAGAGAACUCGGGUGAAGGAACUAGGCAAAAUGGUGCCGUAACUUCGGGAGAAGGCACGCUGAUAUGUAGGUGAAGCGACUUGCUCGUGGAGCUGAAAUCAGUCGAAGAUACCAGCUGGCUGCAACUGUUUAUUAAAAACACAGCACUGUGCAAACACGAAAGUGGACGUAUACGGUGUGACGCCUGCCCGGUGCCGGAAGGUUAAUUGAUGGGGUUAGCGGCAACGCGAAGCUCUUGAUCGAAGCCCCGGUAAACGGCGGCCGUAACUAUAACGGUCCUAAGGUAGCGAAAUUCCUUGUCGGGUAAGUUCCGACCUGCACGAAUGGCGUAAUGAUGGCCAGGCUGUCUCCACCCGAGACUCAGUGAAAUUGAACUCGCUGUGAAGAUGCAGUGUACCCGCGGCAAGACGGAAAGACCCCGUGAACCUUUACUAUAGCUUGACACUGAACAUUGAGCCUUGAUGUGUAGGAUAGGUGGGAGGCUUUGAAGUGUGGACGCCAGUCUGCAUGGAGCCGACCUUGAAAUACCACCCUUUAAUGUUUGAUGUUCUAACGUUGGCCCGUAAUCCGGGUUGCGGACAGUGUCUGGUGGGUAGUUUGACUGGGGCGGUCUCCUCCUAAAGAGUAACGGAGGAGCACGAAGGUUGGCUAAUCCUGGUCGGACAUCAGGAGGUUAGUGCAAUGGCAUAAGCCAGCUUGACUGCGAGCGUGACGGCGCGAGCAGGUGCGAAAGCAGGUCAUAGUGAUCCGGUGGUUCUGAAUGGAAGGGCCAUCGCUCAACGGAUAAAAGGUACUCCGGGGAUAACAGGCUGAUACCGCCCAAGAGUUCAUAUCGACGGCGGUGUUUGGCACCUCGAUGUCGGCUCAUCACAUCCUGGGGCUGAAGUAGGUCCCAAGGGUAUGGCUGUUCGCCAUUUAAAGUGGUACGCGAGCUGGGUUUAGAACGUCGUGAGACAGUUCGGUCCCUAUCUGCCGUGGGCGCUGGAGAACUGAGGGGGGCUGCUCCUAGUACGAGAGGACCGGAGUGGACGCAUCACUGGUGUUCGGGUUGUCAUGCCAAUGGCACUGCCCGGUAGCUAAAUGCGGAAGAGAUAAGUGCUGAAAGCAUCUAAGCACGAAACUUGCCCCGAGAUGAGUUCUCCCUGAGACUUAGAGUCUCCUGAAGGAACGUUGAAGACGACGACGUUGAUAGGCCGGGUGUGUAAGCGCAGCGAUGCGUUGAGCUAACCGGUACUAAUGAACCGUGAGGCUUAACCUU